UACAGAGGUCUCAAGCGUUGUUCGGAUUCAUUGGGCUUAAAGGGCGCGUAGGCGGCGGUGUAAGUUGGAAGUGAAAUCCCAUCGGCUCAACCGUGGAAUUGCUCCCAGUACUGCACUGCUCGAGGGGGAUAGGGGUCUGCGGAACUACCGGUGGAGCGGUGAAAUGUGUUGAUAUCGGUGGGAACGCCAGUGGCGAAAGCGGCAGACUUGACCCUUCCUGACGCUGCAGCGCGAAAGCUAGGGGAGCAAACGGGG
rnacentral:rRNA from 1 species